rnacentral:rRNA from 1 species
GAUGAACGCUGGCGGCGUGCCUAAUACAUGCAAGUCGAGCGAACAGACGAGGAGCUUGCUCCUCUGACGUUAGCGGCGGACGGGCGAGUAACACGUGGAUAACCUACCUAUAAGACUGGGAUAACUUCGGGAAACCGGAGCUAAUACCGGAUAAUAUAUUGAACCGCAUGGUUCAAUAGUGAAAGACGGUUUUGCUGUCACUUAUAGAUGGAUCCGCGCCGCAUUAGCUAGUUGGUAAGGUAACGGCUUACCAAGGCAACGAUGCGUAGCCGACCUGAGAGGGUGAUCGGCCACACUGGAACUGAGACACGGUCCAGACUCCUACGGGAGGCAGCAGUAGGGAAUCUUCCGCGAUGGGCGAAAGCUUGACGGAGCAACGCCGCGUGAGUGAUGAAGGUCUUCGGAUCGUAAAACUCUGUUAUUAGGGAAGAACAAAUGUGUAAGUAACUAUGCACGUCUUGACGGUACCUAAUCAGAAAGCCACGGCUAACUACG